ACGGCUCAGUAACACGUAGAUAAUUUGCCCUUAGGUGGAGGAUACCCUCGGGGAACUGAGAAUAAUACUCCAUAGAUCUAGUCUGCUGGAAUGCUUUUAGAUCGAAAGAUUUAUCGCCUAAGGAUAAGUCUGCGGACUAUCAGGUUGUAGUCAGGGUAAAGACCUGACUAGCCUACGACGGAUACGGGUAGUGAGAGCUUUAGCCCGGAGAUGAUAUCUGAGACACGAUAUCAGGCCCUACGGGGCGCAGCAGGCGCGAAAACUUCGCACUGUGCGAAAGCACGACGAGGGAAUCCCAAGUGCUGGCUCGUAAGAGUCAGCUGUUUCUCUGUCUAAAACGCAGAGAGAGUAAGAGCUGGGUAAGACGGGUGCCAGCCGCCGCGGUAAUACCUGCAGCUCAAGUGGUGGCCGCUAUUAUUGGGCCUAAAACGUCCGUAGCCGGUUCUAUAAAUGCCUGGGUAAAUCGUACGGCUUAACCGUACGAAUUCCGGGUAGACUGUUCAACUUGGGACCGGAAGAGGCUAGAGGUACUCCUGGGGUAGAGGUGAAAUNUCUGUAAUCCUAGGGGGACCACCAGUGGCGAAGGCGUCUAGCUAGUACGGGUCUGACGGUGAGGGACGAAGCCCUGGGGCGCAAACGGGAUUAGAUACCCCGGUAGUCCAGGGUGUAAACGCUGCUUGCUUGAUGUUAGUCGGGCUCCGAGCCCAACUAGUGUCGGAGAGAAGUUGUUAAGCAAGCUGCCUGGGGAGUACGGCCGCAAGACUGAAACUUAAAGGAAUUGGCGGGGGAGCAC
rnacentral:rRNA from 1 species